UACGUAGGGCGCAAGCGUUGUCCGGAAUUAUUGGGCGUAAAGAGCUCGUAGGCGGCUUGUCACGUCGGAUGUGAAAGCCCGGGGCUUAACCCCGGGUCUGCAUUCGAUACGGGCUAGCUAGAGUGUGGUAGGGGAGAUCGGAAUUCCUGGUGUAGCGGUGAAAUGCGCAGAUAUCAGGAAGAACACCCGUGGCGAAAGCGGCUCUCUGGAACGGUACUGACGCUGAGACGCGAAAGCGUGGGGAGCGAACAGG
rnacentral:rRNA from 1 species